UACGGAGGAUGCAAGCGUUAUCCGGAAUGAUUGGGCGUAAAGCGUCCGCAGGUGGCUAUGUAAGUCUGCUGUUAAAGAGUGAGGCUCAACCUCAUAAGAGCAGUGGAAACUACAUGGCUAGAGUGCGUUCGGGGCAGAGGGAAUUCCUGGUGUAGCGGUGAAAUGCGUAGAGAUCAGGAGGAACACCGGUGGCGAAAGCGCUCUGCUAGGCCGCAACUGACACUCAUGGACGAAAGCUAGGGGAGCGAAUGG
rnacentral:rRNA from 1 species